AAGUGGAAGUGAAAUCGGAGGAAAAGGUGGUCGCAGAUGACGGGUCUUCUUCUCUUGUGUCGAAAUCAAUGGCGGAGGAGGAAGAGAAGUUACUUAAAGCUCGUGCUAAGGAAGAAGAUGAACCGUGUGAGGAGGCGCCCAAUCUUAAUAAUACACAGUUUAAUAAGUUGGAUGAACUUUUAACACAAACUAAACUCUACUCAACUCAGAGUUUCUUUUGGAGAAAAUGGAUGAUAUUACAAUG
rnacentral:lncRNA from 1 species